rnacentral:rRNA from 1 species
AAGGGGGCCCUAACCUGGCCAAGCUGAAGCGGUAGAGACUUUCGGGAUCUUGAGAGCGGCGUACGGGUGCGGAACACGUGUGCAACCUGCCUUUAUCAGGGGGAUAGCCUUUCGAAAGGAAGAUUAAUACCCCUAAUAUAUUGAGUGGCAUCACUUAAUAUUGAAAAACUCCGGUGGAUAGAGAUGGGCACGCGCAAGAUUAGAUAGUUGGUGAGGUAACGGCUCACCAAGUCUGCGAUCUUUAGGGGGCCUGAGAGGGUGAUCCCCCACACUGGUACUGAGACACAGGACCAGACUCCUACGGGAGGCAGCAGUGAGGAUAUUGACAAGGUGCGACCUGAUCCAGCCUCCGCGUGAGGA